CGGGACCUUCGGGGCCCUUCAUACGGUCACCCAUUUUUCCAAGGUGGGGGGCUUACAUCGCGGGAUUGACCCAUCAUAAGGGCAAGCUCGCAUUGCUAAACGGAAGACAGUAA
rfam:Thalassobius maritimus strain DSM 28223 genome assembly, contig: Ga0070000_102